CGGCCCAGGGAAGGACAGAGGGGGCCCGGGGCUCCCUCCCUCGCAGUCCUUACGGCAGACCAGGGGGACAGCGCCACCUGCUGAUGGAAGAAGAGCCCACCCGGGCACGCAGGAGCCCUUCGCUCUCCCAUCAGUAAGGCCCAUCCCUGGCUCAGGGCACCAGUCCCGGAGCCAGAAGACCCAACCCCACCCACUGGCUCUGUCAGGUCAGACUUUUCACUCGCGGCACGUCGACAAUGCCAGGUAUGGAAGGGUGCUCCUGAGAAUGAAAUGGCACAACAAACGGGAAUGAUGCAGCAGACCCGGGAGGACUCUGACCCUGGCAGGCUUCCGAAAGCAUCUCACCAAACCACCACAUAAACGGUAAAACAA